UUUGGUAGAGCUGUUGGCUGUUGAGGUUUAAUUCUCAGAUUUGAAUCUUAAUGGAAGGAUAAGUGACAUGUAUAUUGGAGUGGUCACUUCGAUUAGAAAUCAUUCUGUCCACAUUAAAUCCUAGUAAAGUGUUGUCCACAGAAAGACAAUAAUGUCUUGAAGGAAAACUUCCUCCCCUGUGUGUGAAGUAGUUUGUUUGUUGUUGGGUUUUUUUGUACAAAAAUUUAUGGUUUUAUCUAGCUAGGAAUAUGCCAACUUUUAUGUUUUAAUGUAACAAGUGUCUCGCAAUGUAUUUAUCAAAGUCUUUUGAAAUCUGUCUCCUAUGUGUUUUUGAUCUUUGUCUCUGGUUUUGUCUUGCAGAGAAUCCUAUCAAGAAAAAUGUGUGAUGAACAAUUACUUUGGUAUUGGCCUUGAUGCUAAGAUCACUCUGGAGUUUCAAAACAAAAGAGAAGAACACCCAGAGAAAUGCAGGAGUCGAACUAAAAACAUGAUGUGGUAUGGAGUCUUGGGAGGUAAAGAAAUGAUCAAUCAAACAUU
rnacentral:sRNA from 1 species